UUGGCACGCUCCACCUUUUCCUUCCACCCCUCCACCCUGACGGGCUCAAACGCCGCCAGAUCCGACUACCCACGCUCCGAGUUUCCCGACUGGGUCCUGCUCUGCGAGGAGCCGCGUUUCUCGGAGCUCCGGAACGAGACCACCGCCGAGUGCGAGACCAGCGAGGGCCAAGCCGUGGAGGUCUCCUUCUGGCUCGUCGACCCGCCGGGCGCCUCCUACUUCUCCUUCAACUGCCCCGGCCUCGACGCCUCCGCCUUUGACGACUACGCGCCGCCCUCCCUCGUCUGCGCCGGGGCAGCCUUCGUCCUCUUCAGCCUCACAAUCAGGGGCUCCACCCACCACUUCGUCUACACAGCCGGCCCUGCAGCUGCAGGGAAGCAGUCACUGCAACUGCUCCCGGACCCUCCGGUCUACAGAAGACGGCGGUUCGGCCUCCUGCCCCGCGGCGACGCCGGCGAGCACUACGCCGUGGCCUACCUCGACCGCCAGUGGAUCUCCCACGAUGACGACUGGCGGUUUGAUGCGCACGUCUAUUCGUCUGAAACGCAGGAGUGGAGCAGCCACAGGUUGUCGUUGCUGCACUUAUCCGAGUCUGACAGGCUGCUCUGUUGUAAGCAUAGCUUGUACUACAGGCAUAUCGCCGUUGCAGGCUCACUGGGCUGUGUUGAUCUCCUGCGUGGUGUCCUCCUCCUUCGCAACCUCUUCGACGGUGGCGAUCCUCCUGUCAUCGAAUUCAUCCCGUUCCCUGAAUCAAGGGUUAGCUUUCUCGACGAGGAUGGCCGCCCUCACCGCGCCUCCGAGUAUUAUUACAACGUGGCCUCCUGUGAUGAGCUCCUCAAGUUCAUCGAGAUAGAAUUUGACGACCCUCUUGUCAGGACCAGCCGUAAAGGUUGGAGAGCCAAUGUGUGGAACAGGAAGAUCUCUUGGAACAAGUGGGAGCUCCGCUCCACGAUCGAUGUUGCUAGCAUAUCCGUUGAUCAAAGCUAUUCUGCUUUAUUGCCUGAGGUGAAUGCUGAAGACGAGACUGCCUCGGCCAUCACAGUUGACAUGGAAAGGGCAGCUGUCGAAGCAAUGGCCCUGUUUUUGCUCGGACAACACCACUACCAAAUUGCAACGUUCUGCCCAUGCGACUUCCCCAAGUACCUCAACAUGAUCCCACGAGCAGACAUGCAUAAUCCAGUGAACAAGUGCUUUGAGUGGAUGCCUGUUGUUAGGUUGAGUGCGAAGCACUGUGUGGUGCAAGUGUUAUGGGCUCUGGACUGGCUUCGAGAACUU
rnacentral:rRNA from 1 species